UACGGGUGAUUAGGCGAGUGCUGGAGCAUGGGGGCUUGGCUGUAGUGCAGAGUCAACUUUUUUUUUGCAGGGGCUGAGGUGGGGAGGGGUCGGUGGUGUCUUGAGGAGGGACAAGGGUAGCGACGGCGGGCGGCGAGGAGGAGAGGAGACAAUGGGGCAGCGCUCCUUGGUUGGAGGGCUUCGUUGGCCUCGCCGUUCGCCGCCUUCUUACCUCUCUACCGCAGAUGCCGCUGCUGCUUCCUCUACCCCGCCCGCAGGAUGUAGACCUAGUUCGUGCUCCUCCUCGCCGCGUUCCGAAGGACCUUCCUCGGGCUCCGGGCCCAGAAGAGGCGGUGGUGCGCGUGACUACAGCGGCGCGAGGAGCCGCUCGGGGCGCUGGUCUAGGAGCAGCCAGCACGGAGGAAGCGGCUGGAGCGGCGUGUCGUCAGGCCGACGACCCCUCACUUUGCACGUAUCUACUCUAAGAGGUCUAACAAAAGAAGAGAGAGGGAUCGUUAGGAAGAACGAAGGGGAGAACACAGAGAGCUACGAUGAUAUAGAUAUACGUCCAAAACUGUACGGAAAACAAACACAACCGUCCUUGAGGUCAAGUGCGAGACAAAACCACCUAGAGUGAUGCGAGUCCUCCACAAGCUGCUUUACGUUUCGGUCUCUUUUUGAUCUCUACUCUGUGUCCAAGUCAAAAGAGAAGUCCGUUCCUUACGGAAAGAGAGAAAACGAGACCGGUCGUUGUAUCAGCCGAGGGAGAGAAAACACACGUCAAUGUGUUUAUGUGUGUACAUACCGGACGUCGGUACGAGUCUGUAGGAGUCGUGUGUAUCUGCAGCGAUGUCACGUCCCUGUGUGUGUAGUCGGAUGACAGUUGAGGCGUACAAUGAUCUGUGCUCGUACCAGAUAUGUGACAGAUCUAACGUUGUUCCUAAUGUAAUUGUCAAACUUGGCUCGAACUAAAAAAACCAAUUCUAAGUUACUACCAAACCACAAUGAGAUAAAAAUGAUAACAAAGGAAUAGUUAUAAAGUGACGACACUAUCACUUUGUAAAUAGAUAAUGUAUGAAAAAGCAACUGUCGGCUUACACGACAAACUUGACAAAAGGGAUCUACUUCCUUCAUGUCAAACGUACAUGAUUAAAAAAUGACAAUCAAGGUCUAAUAGGGGAAAGGACACACGUAAAUGAUCUACGAAUUUAAUUAUAUACCUAGUAGAAGCCAGGUCGUACUAGAUAAAUCGUUUAAUUUUAAAGAGUAGGUCACAAGUCAAUAAAAGAGUUAAAUAAACGACGAGUACAUACACAAUUGGACAUGACUCUAACAAAUAAUAUAUAUACAGAUACAGGUCGAAGACAUUACAGUACGUAGAUAAAUCCCUUCAGUAAGAUCCAUUGUGUGGACUGAACAUAGUCGAGUUUUAACGAUAAUACUUAUAUCAAAUAAAGUGUAUCUAUUACUCGAUAAAGUACGUCAAGAACAGGGACCUCUGAAGAGUUCACGUUGAAUGCCCAUAGAACUUGGUAGUUGUGGCGGAGGUCGACUGUGGUGGGAUCCGAGGCCCCUCAUGUGGCCCGGUGACUGUCGACGCAUCCACUACCGUCGCCCGCCCCGACCAGAAGAAGAACCGCGUGCACACAAUGGAGAGGUUCUAGGUACUCGAACCACUGUGCAACGAGUAGGAGACUACGAGCGAACGAGUGGGACGAGCCGUAGAUGGUGGUACGGUAGUAGUAACAGUACGAUGGAGACCGAGCGGUGACCCUACAUCAAGAGUACACCUCAACAAACCUACACGCACGUCCACGUUCUUUAAGUCCUUCAACCCGUUUCAUCCCAGCAAGACCUCCGGUAGUGGCAACACGUAGUGGCUGGUCCGUUGGAGCUUCGUACGAUGGAAGAACCUUUAAUAGGCUAACAUAAAGACCCCUCGGCCCUCCGUCCUCGUUGCGACCACUACUGGGGCUGCCACCCACUGUGGCGGCCCUCCGUUACGUGAGGGACCAACAGCAAGUUAAGUAGUCGUAACCACGGUGGUUCCUGCUAGUGUUGUUUACUAUAAAAAGGAAGCUAAAAGAAAGAUUGCCACCACCUAACCAACGAGGAACCACGCACCUAAAAAUUUACAUCCGACGACCACUCCUUUGUUUCAACCACUUUUAUAGUUUCGACCUGUUUUUAUUAUCUUUGUAAUUCGCGUCUUAUACGACAUGGAUUUAAUCGACGGACCUUUGUAUCCCGGACACGAUUUACUGACUUCCCACUCGUUGUUGAAGCUCGGCUCUUAACCUCUGACCGUUCUAUCUCAAGCCGGUAUCACAUGACGGACCUUUCCUUCCGUAACGUGACCUCCCACCGCGUCCACCAUUACCUCCUCCGCCGCUACUCAUAACGCAGUCCGCCGUUAGCCUAAAUUCGCACCUUCUAUAACCGUAGCUAUACUCUCACCCGCUCUCGGUAUCCUUUUUCCUAGACCACUUCUUUCUUGUAUUCUCUACCCACACCCAGUCACCCACAAUAGCCGGACCGAUCCGGUUGCACCAUGUACGUUAGAAAAAAAAAGAAAAGACUCAACAUGAACCGAUUUAGAGUGAUAUAAACAUGCACAAGUAUACAGUAAACAAAAAGUUUUGUUUUAUUUAUUUCUUUUACAUCUUAUUACAUUUUAGUUU
rnacentral:rRNA from 1 species